CAGCUGGGUGAGGCCACAUGACCAAGUUCUGACCAAUGAGAUGUAAGCAGAAUGGUGGGUGGGACUUCCGGGAGAACUCUACAGUUAAGGAGGAAAAUACUUCUUGCAGCAAAUGAAACUUAAACCUAUGGUCUCUUCAGUUGCUUUCACGUAUAACCAUAGGACUAAAAAGUUUCCUUAGCCAGUGACUGUAUCUUUUUGACUCCAAAGAACCUGCAGCUACUUCUGUAGCGUUGGGCUUCAACUAGUGAGUGCACAUUUGGCCAGUUUAAGCCCAGUGAACAUCCAGUGGAGGGUGCACGUUCACCACUUUCAGCCACGCUGGAAAGUUCCCAUCACGGCAUUCCCAUCCAUGCCUUGGAUUUAUGGAACCACAGUUCUUGUCACAAAUGUGAGUGCUUCCAUAAUUUCACUUCAGUCUUCCAUCUUCAUAUAAUAAUUAUAAUGAGUGACAACAUGAAAAACAAUUUCAAAUAUUCAUUUUUUUUUCCAGAUCUAUGUUCUGAGCAACUGUUCAGUGUGUCUUACCCACUAAUAGGCAGAUGGUACCCAGCAGGUGAGCAGUGAGAUCAGCGUCCCUGCCCGCAUGGAGUUUACAAGCCUUUUAGGCAGAAAAUUACAUCAAUAAUAUUGUGCAAAGGAGUGAUACAGCCAGCAUUUAAUUUGUGGAUGACAAAAUUUUCCAUCAUGUGAUAGCUUUUUUAAAAAUCUGAUAAUGCACAGAGCAUAAAUUCUGCAGAGAAAAGGGUGUUUUAACUGUGCUUCUGAAUAGUAGUCAAGAG
rnacentral:lncRNA from 1 species